rnacentral:snRNA from 1 species
GGGUAUGUACUUACUACAUAACGUAUCAAUCUUUCGCCUUUUACUAAAGAUUGCCGUGUAGUAGGUACACUAAAUGCGUAUACCACAAAUUUUUGUCGGGCCUUUCAGGCGCG